CUGAGAGACCCCCUGUACUCAGGUGGGAAUGUGGCCCCGGCCUUUCAGAGGCGCGGGGCCGUGAGAUGCGGGGUGGGGCUUGCGCCCUCCCUGGAAUCGGGGCUGGGAUCCCGACUGCGGCCUUUGGCCGUGCCGCCCCGCUGCCUGGCUGCUGAGAGUUGCUCCUGCCGCUGGGGGGGAAACCGAGCUCUGUGGCUCCAGGGGUGUUGUCCACCCGCCUGUAAUCAGGGUCUGGGUGCGCGAGCGUUUGUGCUCUGCUGGCAGCCUGUGUGGGGUGACCGCCCCGCUAGCGGGGUGUGGGUCGAGGUGCCCCGGACUGGGAGAGAAGGAGCCUCCCUCGGCCGUAGGGAUGGGGGCUGCCCUGUAAGUCAGGGAGCAUCUGUGUCCCGGAGUCCCAGGCCCUUUUCAAUGGCGGCAGUGGCCGGGGGUCCCCUGUAAGCAGGGAAGCUGACUCUUUGGCUGCUGCUUUUUGUGUGCCCAGCCCCAUUUGCCCAGUCUGCCCGCCUCUGUGAUCCCCCGCAGCACUGGCUGGAAGUCCGCCGCGUGUCAGUGAGGAGCUGCUGCAGAAGGAAGAAGAAGAAGCGGCGUGGGGACCUGGGAGGCAGGAGCAAGCAAGAAGAGGAAGCGGAAGCGUGCAGAUGCGGGGGGGAAGGAGAGAGGCUCCCUGGGCAAAGCACCUGUCCCGUUAGCAGGGGCACAGUCACGUUUGAGUUGAGAGCUGCCGGCGCCUUUGGUGACCAGGCUGGCGUUGUGCUGGGCGACCUCCCCGUAAGCGGGGCUCGGGUCUUUGCUGUAGUUGGCCUUUUGCCUUGCUGCUCCUAGGGCUGCCUGGGGAGCGUGGCCCCCUGUAACGGAGGGCGAGAGCCACCUCUCCGCACCUGAGUGGGAAAUGGAGCUCGCCGGACCCCGAGGCCACCCUGUAAGCAGGGUAGUGCCGUUUCCCUGCCCCUCUUCCUCCCCCGGCCCCUCGGCAUCGUUGCCUGAUGGUGGCUUGUCAAUGCGACAGCCCCGUACUCGGGGUGUGCGUCACGGCAUUUGGCCGCUGGCUUUACCUGAGAAGCCCCUUGGCACGUUGAGGUCUGUGGCCUCCGUGCAGCCUAGGGACAGGUCACAGGCUCUUGUCUGUUGCCCGUGGUUGUGGGUUUAUUCCCAGGUGUUGGCUGUGCUGCGUUGUCCUUCCCUUCUGGAAAGUCGUGCCUGUGUGUGCGUGUUCCCCUUCCUUUCCUUGUUUGUGUUUGUGGAGUGGUUGAGCGGCUGUGCUUUCCCUUUAGGCCUCCACAAAGAUGGCUGCAGCUUAGCUUUGACUUCCCGGGGGGGAAUGGAGGACUUUGGUGCAUGCCGCAAAAGGGGUGUUCCCUCUUAGUCCUGCGAGCGCAGCGAGUGUCCUGUCUUCCUACUAUUUUCCUUAGUGCAGAUCAGAGCCACACGGUAGUUCUGUGGCCAAGGCCUCCCUGUAGCCAGGGCUUGGGCCUGUCCUUGCGUGGCCGCCUGUCCUGCUGGCGGCGGUGACAGCCCCGUACUCGGGGUGUGUGUCCCAAGCUUCGGAGCCCUCUGUCCCUGAGCAGCCCGCCCGCCCUGUAAUCAGGUGUGGGGAGGCUGCAGCGUUGCAGCCGGCUGCUUUAGCCAUCCAGCUGGUGGGAGUGACCCCUCCCUGUCCCGUCAGAGGGUGCAGGUUGAGGUGCUGUUUGUGUGUGGGGUGACCUCCCCGCUCGGUGGGUCGAGGUAGCUCCCUGGGCUUCCAAAGACGAGACGUUGGUGAUGUUCUGCUGCUGCCGGGCGGGCCAGCCUGUAGCUCAGGCGUUGGCGGGAGCCUCGUGCUCCGCGGGGCUUCUUGAAGAGGGUGAGGUGUGGGGGUACCGUCCUGUAGGCAGGGCUGUGUGUGCCCCCCGUGUGUGCUUGGUGAGCUGCGUUCUGAGAGACCCCCUGUACUCAGGUGGGAAUGUGGCCCCGGCCUUUCAGAGGCGCGGGGCCGUGAGAUGCGGGGUGGGGCUUGCGCCCUCCCUGGAAUCGGGGCUGGGAUCCCGACUGCGGCCUUUGGCCGUGCCGCCCCGCUGCCUGGCUGCUGAGAGUUGCUCCUGCCGCUGGGGGGGAAACCGAGCUCUGUGGCUCCAGGGGUGUUGUCCACCCGCCUGUAAUCAGGGUCUGGGUGCGCGAGCGUUUGUGCUCUGCUGGCAGCCUGUGUGGGGUGACCGCCCCGCUAGCGGGGUGUGGGUCGAGGUGCCCCGGACUGGGAGAGAAGGAGCCUCCCUCGGCCGUAGGGAUGGGGGCUGCCCUGUAAGUCAGGGAGCAUCUGUGUCCCGGAGUCCCAGGCCCUUUUCAAUGGCGGCAGUGGCCGGGGGUCCCCUGUAAGCAGGGAAGCUGACUCUUUGGCUGCUGCUUUUUGUGUGCCCAGCCCCAUUUGCCCAGUCUGCCUGCCUCUGUGAUCCCCCGCAGCACUGGCUGGAAGUCCGCCGCGUGUCAGUGAGGAGCUGCUGCAGAAGGAAGAAGAAGAAGCGGCGUGGGGACCUGGGAGGCAGGAGCAAGCAAGAAGAGGAAGCGGAAGCGUGCAGAUGCGGGGGGGAAGGAGAGAGGCUCCCUGGGCAAAGCACCUGUCCCGUUAG
ensembl:lncRNA